rnacentral:lncRNA from 1 species
AUGUCAUCUUCAUUUUUGUUCAGCUAUGUGUUUGGGGUGUCAGGCUAUUUGACAGUAAGUGCUGCAUCAGCUGCAAGUUCUGUCUUUAAGAUCAGCCCCUCCAUAAGGAUGAUAAAAACUCCCUUGAAAGCUUCCACUUCUGUGCUUGGAUUAAACUGCUGUUUUGAUAAAACAUAUAUACUGCUGGAUCCGACAUGUCACCUUACAAUGUGUGCUUGUAGUGUGUGGUGUUCUGGCUGCCCCUCUCAUCCACCUCAGCUCUUCAUCUCUGCUCAACCUCCCAGGGUAAGCAAUUGGGUUAUUAAAUAUGAAUGGGAGAAGGGAAGGGGAGGUACAUAUU